rnacentral:rRNA from 1 species
UACGAAGGGGGCUAGCGUUGUCCGGAUUUACUGGGCGUAAAGAGCGCGCAGGCGGUCGUUCAAGUCGUGUGUGAAAGCCCCCGGCUCAACUGGGGAGGGUCACGCGAUACUGAUCGACUCGAAGGCAGGAGAGGGUAGUGGAAUUCCCGGUGUAGUGGUGAAAUGCGUAGAUAUCGGGAGGAACACCAGUGGCGAAGGCGACUACCUGGCCUGUUCUUGACGCUGAGGCGCGAAAGCUAGGGGAGCAAACGGG